AGAUAGUUACUUGAGAGACCACUUCAAACGAUGUAUUUGGUCUUCAAUGUUGUCACGCUGAUUUCGCAUUAGUCGUAGUUCCUGCAUAUAACUAAUGUCAAUUACAACAUAUUUCCUGUAAAUACUAAAGAGCAAGGUGGUUUUUAAGACAAGCUUUUGUUCCCACCCCCAGUAAGAACUAUUUUAUAAGCAUACUUAAUUGGCCAUCUCACUUUAAUUUUUUUAUUAAGAAUUAAACUCCUAUAAAAGCACUGGC